CAGGGUUCGAUUCCGGAGAAGGAGCUUGAGAAUUGGCUACUACAUCUAAGGAAGGCAGCAGGCGCGCAAUUACCCAAUCCCGAUUCGGGGAGGUAGUGACAAAAAAUAACAAUACCGGGCCUUUUUGGGCUUGGUAAUUGGAAUGAGGGAGAGUUAAACGGACCAUCGAGUAUCCAUUGGAGGGCAAGUCUGGUGCCAGCAGCUGCGGUAAUACCAGCUCUAAUAGCGUAUAUUAAAGUUGUUGCAGUUAAAAAGCUCGUAGUUGGACUUGUGUGCGCUGUCCGCGGGUGGCCUGCGCCCAAAAGGGCGUUUCGGUUCGGCCCCGGUGGCGCCUUGAAAUCUGCAGCUGGGGGGACGUUGGCCUUAACUGGUCGGCGACCGCACGCCGGCUGCUCGGUUACUGUGAGAAAAUUAGAGUGUUCAAGGCAGGCAUUGGGUGCAAUUGAAUACAUUAGCAUGGAAUAAUAAAAUAUGGCUCCUGCCGUAUUUUGUUGGUUUUGACUGGUGGGAGUAAUGAUUGAUAGGGACGGUUGGGGGUGCUAGUAUUGAGCGGCCAGAGGUGAAAUUCAUGGAUUCGCUCAAGACUAACUUAUGCGAAAGCAUUCACCAAGGACGUCCUCCUUAAUCAAGAACGAAAGUUGGGGGAUCGAAGACGAUCAGAUACCGUCGUAGUCUCAACCAUAAACUAUGUCGACUUGGGAUCGGCGGUAGUUUUUUCAUUAAGACACUGUCGGGACCACGGGAGAAAUCAAAGUGUCUGGACUCUGGGGGAAGUAUGGUCGCAAGGCUGAAACUUGAAGGAAUUGACGGAAGGGCACCACCAGGAGUGGAGCCUGCGGCUUAAUUUGACCCAACACGGGGAAACUUACCAGGUCCAGAGAUGUAGAGGAUUGACAGAUUGAAGCUCUUUCUUGAUCACUUCGGUGGUGGUGCAUGGCCGUUCUUAGUUGGUGGAGUGAUUUGUCUGGUUAAUUCCGUUAACGAACGAGACCUCAGCCUGCUAGUGUAGUCGGCUGGAUUGCCUUUGGCGAUCCGUGAUUUCGACUUCUUAGAGGGACAAUCGACGCGCAGUCGAUGGAAGUUUGAGGCAAUAACAGGUCUGUGAUGCCCUUAGAUGUUCUGGGCCGCACGCGCGCUACACUGCUGGGCUCAGCGAGUUUUACUUGGCCGAGAGGCCCGGUUAAUCUUGUGAAAUCCCAGCGUGCUUGGGCUCGCCUCCUGCAACUGGAGGCGCCAACGAGGAAUUCCUAGUAGACGCAGGUCAUCAACCUGCAUCGAUUACGUCCCUGCCCUUUGUACACACCGCCCGUCGUUCCAUAAGAGUGAGGCAUCCGGUGAAUUCUCGGGAGAGCCUGGGCGUGGCCAGCAAUGGUCUGCUCGGGUUUGAACUUGCAUAAACUUGGUGCCUAUGAUUAGGGAAAAGUCGUAACAAGGUU
rnacentral:rRNA from 1 species